UCGCCGACUCUAGAGUGCGGGCUCCGCGCGCUGCUCCUCCCCCCUCCUCCCCCGGCCCCGGCUCCCGCACCCGGGCCGGUUUGCGCUGCGCAGGCGCCGUAGCAGGACUCGAGGAGCUGGGCUCGUCUGCUGGUAGGAGCCAAAGGAGGGAGGAGGGCAGGCGCUCCGCAGUCUCAGACCAGUGUGAGGAAGGCAGGGCAGGACAAGGGGCACCCGGCUUCGAGGUCGGGCAGCCGGCCCAGCGUGACCAUGGGUUCCAGCUGGAGUGUCGCGGGAGAGGAGGAGGAGGAGGAGCGGCGGCCGCUGCUGAGGCCCGGGCCCGGGGCGGGCGCUGGGGCGACCGGGAGGAGCCGGGCGCAGACCGCGGAGCGCGGAGCGCCGGCGCCGGUGGCGCCCGCGGUGCCGGCACAGGUCUUGGCUGGGCCCGGGCGCGUAUACGGGCGCCGCUGGCUGGUGCUGUUGCUCUUCUCGCUGAUGGCCUUCCUGCAGGGCCUGGUGUGGAACACCUGGGGCCCUAUCCAGAACUCGGCCCGCCAGGCCUACGGCUUCUCCAGCUGGGACAUAGCGCUGCUCGUGCUCUGGGGGCCGAUAGGCUUCCUACCCUGCUUCGCUUUCAUGUGGCUGCUGGACAAGAAAGGUCUCCGGGUAACUGUGCUGCUGACAUCCUUUCUUAUGGUUUUGGGAACAGGUCUAAGAUGCAUACCUGUAUCAUCAGACAUAGAGAUUAAAAAAAGAUUGAUCCAUGGAGGACAGCUGCUCAAUGGAUUAGCAGGCCCAACGGUAAUGAAUGCUGCUCCGUUCCUGUCCACCACAUGGUUUUCUGCAGACGAACGAGCUACUGCCACAGCGAUCGCUUCUAUGCUCAGUUACCUUGGUGGAGCUUGUGCAUUCCUAGUUGGCCCUCUUAUUGUUCCGGCUCCUAAUGAAACAUCACAUCUACUUACCUCCGAAAGUAAUAGUAUCCAUAUUCAGGAUCGGAUAGAGAUGGUAUUAUAUGCAGAAUUUGGAAUUGUAUGCCUGACAUUCUUUGUAGCAAUUGCAUAUUUUCCAACUCGGCCUCCAUUUCCCCCUAGUGUAGCUGCAGCAAGCCAGCGACUAAGCUACAGACGGAGUUUCUGUAGACUCUUAAGCAAUUUGAGGUUUCUGAUGAUAGCAUUAGCCUAUGCCAUACCUUUAGGUGUAUUUGCCGGCUGGUCUGGAGUUCUGGAUUUAAUUUUAACACCAGUUCAUGUCAGCCAAGUAGAUGCUGGCUGGAUUGGAUUUUGGUCUAUAGUUGGAGGCUGCAUUGUAGGAAUAGCUAUUGCGAGGUUUGCAGAUUUCAUCAGAGGCAUGUUGAAGCUAAUCCUUCUAUUGCUGUUUUCUGGAGCUACACUUUCAUCUACUUGGUUCACUCUGACCUGUUUGAACAGCGUUACCCAUCUGCCUUUAACUACAGUGACAUUAUAUGCCUCCUGUAUUCUACUGGGAGUAUUCCUGAAUAGCAGCGUUCCCAUCUUCUUUGAGCUUUUUGUGGAAACUGUCUACCCAGUUCCAGAAGGAAUUACUUGUGGAGUUGUUACCUUCCUAAGUAACAUGUUCAUGGGAGUGCUUUUAUUUUUUCUUACAUUUUAUCAUACAGGACCUGAAAACUUCCACCAAUUCCAAGAAUUCUCCAUCCAAGCCUUGAGCAACUUGAAUAAUUGAACUCUGCUCCUCCCUCACUCACCGCUCCUCCCGACUCUUGCCCACACAGAUUCGGCCACCAUGUCGGGGGGCAGGAUUGCUGCAGCUCCGCUGUCGGACCUGGAAGCCAAUUCCACAGGAGGUGCUGCACAAAGCCCAAGGGUGCUGCAGCGUUGUUGCUUCCCAUCCCAGCCACAGUAGGGGUCCCGGGCCCCCAAGCAUUCCCUGAAGAACAAGAAGCCUGAGACAACAGUUCUUCACCAAUCAUGUCUCUCACCACUCCCGCCACCCUCCUCUCUAGACAUUUCCAUUUGAGUCAUAUCCCUGUAGAAAUAGCCAUUGAUUACCUAAAACUGAAAUUUUUUACACAAAUAAAAUCAAUGAAGUUAAAAUUAGAAAAGAAAUAGACAACUAGAUGGUGCAGUGAAUAGAGUGUUGGUCAGAAAGACCUAGGUACUUAAUAACUGUGUAAUAUUAAGUGAAUUGCUUAACUUCUGUUUGUUUCAGUUUCCUCAUUUGUAAAAAGGGAUAAUAAAUGUAUCUCCCAGGGUUAUUUGAAAAACAAAGGAGAUAAUUUUGUAAAACAGUUAGCACAAUACCUACUUAGCCCUAUAUAAAUACUAGCUAUUUUUAUUAACUUGGGGGAAAACAACUUUGCAAUAAGUUUCUCUGAUAAAGGUCUGAUAUCCAAGAUAUAUAAGGAAUUGAUUCAAACAUAUAGCAAUGACAGCCAUUACCCAAAAGAUAAAUGGUCAAAGGAUAUGAACAGGCUGUUCUUGUGUUAAACUCCUUCACCCCCUGCCUCUUUGUGUUUUUAAUUAGGAGGAAGAAAAGGAGAUUGAUGAAAGAUAGAGUUAAUUUAAAAUGUAAUAAUAAUAAUGAUGAUGUCUUAAAGGGCCAUUGUAAUAUUUUAAAUUCACAUAAAGGAAGUUCAGCUAUUCAGCUAGUAACAUGACAAGCAGAACUGCUUUAAAAUGAAAAUAGAAUUAUAUAUUUAAAGCAAAUGGUAUGAAGUAGAAUUCAGCAUUUCAUUUGCUAUUUUGGGGGGUUGGCAUGUUUUGAUUUAUAUAUGAAAAUUCACUUUAUGCUUAAACCUAGCAAUAAAUAAAUAAUUUUAUAUGUAUAUAUAUAUAUAUAUAUAUAUGUAUUUUAAAAGAACCUGGGAUUCCAGGGUUAGCCUUUUCUCCACAUACUGCCCCCAAUUCAUAUCCCAUAAGUUUUCCCCUGAUCUCCUUUUCCACUGGGAUUCCUUUAUUAUACAUAUUUUUUCCCUUUUUGAAAAAGAAAAUAAAUUUUCACUAGACAGAUUUCAACCAGAGGGAGACAAUGUUUAUAGAAAUGGAUUAAAUCAAGAUUUAUAGCCCAUCAUCAUGCCCAGCCAAAAAAAAAAAAAAAAAAGAAUAUAGAUCCAGGGGUAUGAGGAAGAAUUUUCCCCUUUUUCCAAGCUAUUCACCACUCAUCCCUAUGAAGACUAGGAAUCUCAGACACUUAGGUCUUUAUUAUUGCCUCCCCUGAACCCUAAAAGCAAGCUACUCUGGCACGGUGAGUGUGGGUGCUCCCCAUACCUCAUGUACCAGGAGGAUGGAAGAAAUGACCUUAAGAAUUAAGUCCAGACCCCUAAUUUUACAGGUGAGGAAAAGCUAAGGGACAGAGAGUUGAAGUGUUUUGCUUGGGGUCACACAACUAGUAAGUAUCUGAGAUAGAAUCUGAGCUCAGAGCUAUCUGACUCCAAGUCAAGAACUCUAUCCACUACAACUUCCUGGUGAUAAGGGAUAGGACCAAGAGUACACUGAAGUCAGCUUGAAUUGGGUUUGAGAGAGCCACUUGUUAAAUGUCCAGUGUGUGAACAUUUAUACCCCAGAAAUAUGCAAACACCACAAAUCAGCGUUUGAUUUAUCAUUUUGUUGAGUGCCCAGACUUAAGAAAGUAACGUAAAAAAUGACUAAGCUGUAUGAUUAAUAAUUAAUAACAAUAAUUAUUAGCAAUAUAAUAUAUACUCAAAACAAUAUUUUUAUAUAAUAAUGUCAACAACAUUAUUGUAUAAUGUAAUUAAUAAUAAUAAUAAUAAUUAAAUAAUUUAAAAGUUAAUAAUGCAAAUUAAACUUGUCUGCACAUUUUUCCCCUGGAAGGCUGAUUAUUAAACAUUUUAUCAUCACUGCAUCAUCAGCUACCUCAUAAUAACUUCUAACUAGAUGUCCCAGAGACACUGCAAACUCAACAUGUUCAGAACUAAAAUCAUUAGUUUAGUUUAAUUCAGUUUCAAAGCCCCCCUGCUUUGCUGUACUUCCUUCUCAGUCUCCAUUUGUUCUCUGUUGUGCACUUUUUAUUUUUUUUUCUCCCUAUUCCUUCUAAGAUUAAAAAACAUAAUAAUAAAACUCCUGUUUAACUUUGAACAUUUUCCUCCUUAGCCUGGUCUCAGUCUACCUUUCUAUUCUUGUUGGAGGCUCCAAAUGCCCUCCCCUCUUCCAAACUUCCAAUGUCUGACAAAGGUACCACCAUUGGUAUGACCUAUAGGAAGUCCUAUAGUAGGACUUCAACCUUGAGGAUCUGCAGUCCUCUAAAUUCCUGUCUGUAGCCCACAUUACUCCCAAAGAGCCAUAUGAUUAUUGUUCCAUUUGCCACCCAGAAUCUGGUGUAUGGAUUCACAAUCAGAUGAACUGAAUUAGAAUUCCGACUCUCCUUAAUGCUUACUUGUUUGCAAAAGACCCUUCCAGACUAGUUAUUAGUGGCUUGACAUUAAACUGUCCUACUUGGUAGUCAUCAGAGAUCUCAAGUCACAUCAGAGUAAGAAAAGUUCCUUGAUUUCUAUGGGGUGGAGGAAUAUAUCCCAGAAUAGCCCCUAUUCUGUUCUGUGGCAAUGAAAUGUCCCUAGAUCCUUUUGAAAUGUGUUUCAAUGUCCAUUGCCUUCCACAUUACAUCCAGUCACUUGGAUCCUCAUCAAUUUUCACAUAACUGUACUAAUUCUGCCCCCCCUUUUGUUGUUCACUAUAAUAGGAGAAUGAUGUGUAAUUAAAAUUAAAAAAAGAAUUCUGAAUCUGUCACUUAACACCUGAGUCUUGUAAAUAAAAUGUAAUUGAGAAUUAGAUGCUUUUUAAGAUCCCUUCCAACUAUAUAUGUCUAUGAUCCCAUGCUACAGAAAUCAGAAUCCUUUGAAGCACCAUAGUUUGCACGUGUGAAUCACAUGUAGUAGCAACUGAAAAUUUUAAUACUGCUGUGGUUGUUUCUUUCUCUCCUGUGAGAUGUAGGAUCAUAGAUUUCUAGUUGGAAGAAAUUCUGGAGGCAACAAUAAAGCCUAGCACAGUGUAUUUGCUUAAUAUUUGCUUAAUAACUGCUUGUUCCUUUGCCUUGCCAAGUCCAACUAUUCAUUUACAAAUAAAGAACUAAGUCCUAGAAGUUAUGUGACUUAUCCAGAAUCACACAUUUGGAGUAAAUGGAAGACACAGGCUUUGAACCCAAAUCCUGUCACCCCCAAUCCAAUUCUUUUUUCAUUGUUCUAUGCACAUAUGGUCAAUUGGUCCUCUAUAGGAUAUAAUAUCUUCUCUGUUUCUUGAUCCCUCACUGGCUGGUUCCCGGGUCUUGGCAUGAGAUACAUGUAGAAAGAAUUCUAGCCUCCUUGCUGUGGUAAAUGAUUUGCAUAGAUUAAACUUUUCUCAGAAAUGAUGAUUACUUUUAAAACAUUUUUAUUCACCAUCGUGUCCACUUUCCUAUUUUUUCAGCAUGAACAGAUUGUUUAAGUAGCUUGUAUUGGAGCUGUGAUGAUUUACACAUUUUCUUCUCCUUGUCAUAGUUUCUUCUAAUAUGGUAUUUCUUUUAACCUUUGUUCUAACUAGUCAAUGAUUUGACAACCUCACAGAAAUUUGAUUCUGAGAAGGACCAGGCACAUCGAUUCAUGCAAAUUUUUUUUAUUAAUUUUACUUUCAAAUAAAAAUGUUCAUCUUCUCUCUAA